rnacentral:rRNA from 1 species
GGCUUAGAGUUUGAUCAUGGCUCAGGAUGAACGCUGGCGGCGUGCCUAACACAUGCAAGUCGAACGAAGCGCUUUUUGAGAUUCUUCGGAUGAACAUUUGGUGACUGAGUGGCGGACGGGUGAGUAACGCGUGGGUAACCUGCCCUGUACAGGGGGAUAACAGCCAGAAAUGGCUGCUAAUACCGCAUAAGCGCACAUGAGGACAUCCUCAAGUGUGAAAAACUCCGGUGGUACAGGAUGGGCCCGCGUCUGAUUAGCUGGUUGGCGGGGUAACGGCCCACCAAGGCGACGAUCAGUAGCCGGUCUGAGAGGAUGAACGGCCACAUUGGAACUGAGACACGGUCCAAACUCCUACGGGAGGCAGCAGUGGGGAAUAUUGCACAAUGGGGGAAACCCUGAUGCAGCAACGCCGCGUGAGUGAAGAAGUAUUUCGGUAUGUAAAGCUCUAUCAGCAGGGAAGAUAAUGACGGUACCUGACUAAGAAGCUCCGGCUAAAUACGUGCCAGCAGCCGCGGUAAUACGUAUGGAGCAAGCGUUAUCCGGAUUUACUGGGUGUAAAGGGAGCGCAGACGGCAUGGCAAGUCUGAAGUGAAAGGCAUGGGCUCAACCCGUGGACUGCUUUGGAAACUGUCAGGCUAGAGUGUCGGAGAGGCAAGUG